UGGAAUGAGCUUCAAUGUUGGUGUUGCAGGUGUUACCCAUGUUACGUUGACUGUUUGGAUUCCUAUUCAUUAACAUUUCAAGACCAAAUUCAUCUUCUUAAAAUUGACUUGAAAGGAUUUGGAUCAUUCUAGGAACAUAUCUAUCAAAGAUGCAAAGCUUUAAUGGGAUUAAUUUAUCCGUCAAGUACGUUUUCAUUUGCAGUCUGUAUGUCCUUUCCGAAGGCUCUGCCAGAAGAAUAUGCUAAAUAAUGAAUUUAUGAAUCGCGUAAGUUACACGAGCAAGAAUUUUUAUGCCUAACGAUGUUUUAUUUUCUUAAUAUAGAUUAAUGAUAAACUUGGAUCUGAAAAGGUUCCUUGGUUGGGGCGAGAUACCGAAUAAAGUUUAAUGAUUGGAUGCACUA